rnacentral:tRNA from 1 species
CCCAGCGCCAGGUAGGGCGCGUUGCUGAAAUUCGCGGUGUCGGUCAGCGCCUGUUCGAUGUGCGCGCGCUGGGUC